UGGAGGAACGAAGGAUGAUGCCUGAACUGCCAUGGAGAUUCUCCUUCCUCCCAUGACCAUUACUGACAAAACCGCAAUUCUCUCGUUCAUCCAAACUCCCUCCUUCAGCACAUAUCCCACGUCGUAAAACCACCAGCUACAAACAAAACACAGUCCAAUACGACGAUCUCCACGAAAAUUGGACCCUCAAACGAACUCUAUUCGAGAAGCUCAAGCAUAAAGACUCUGGCCUAGUUCGGAUUCUCGAAGAAGAUGGAGAUUGGAGCAAAGAACUCUUCUAGGCUGUUGUUGGAUUCCUCAAUCAAACCUCAAGAUCGAACCAGAUUCUUCAGGUGUUUGAUGAAUGGUCUAGCAAAGACGAAUCUCGAGUUAGCGUGUUUAAUUACGAGAGAAUUGUAAGGCUGUUGGUUGAGGAGGAAUUGGUUGAUAUUGUAGUGUUGGCUUUAAACCAGAUGAAAUAUAUUUGGGGUGUGCAGCCAUUGUCCGAGAAUUACCGUUUGAUUAGCUGGAUUGAUCAAGAGGAUGGAAAGAACAUACAGGAUUGUGAUCUCGAAAAAGAUGGAUAUUGAAGCUUCUACCGUCAUGGCAAUGCUAGAGGCGUAUGCUAGUUUUGGGGAUUUGGAGAAGAUGGAAAAGAUUUAUAGAACGGUUAUGAGGUUGAAACCGAGAGUUUAUUUGAACGAUGAUUUGAUUCGUAAAGUGGCUGUUGUUUAUAUAGAAAACUACAUGUUUUCUAAGUUAGACGACAUGGGUAUUAGACUUUAUUCCAGAAUCGGCAACACGAACAUCGUGUGGUGUUUAAGAAUGCUUUCGCAUGCUUGUCUUCUUAGCUGAACGGGAAUGGAGUCUAUCAUGCGUGAAAUGGACUACAGGAAAGUUAAAUGGAGUGUGACGAUCGCAAACACAAUACUAUGUGCGUAUGCCAAAAUGAAAGAUUUUAGACGCUUUAAAGGCGUGAUCUUGGAAAUGGAAGCUCGAAAUGUGAAACCCUGACAUUGUUACUUGUGGGAUUUUGUAUGAUGCACAUGGGUCCGGUUUCGGGUUUGGGUUUGAUGAGUUGGAUUAUAGGAUAAAGAUGGCAUUUUUUGGGGAUGUUGUGGAGUUAAAAACUGAUCCUUUGGUUCUUGUUGCCUUUUGGAAAGGGGAAUUUUCUAAAGAUUGUUGAAGAGGUUGACCAUACAAGGAGUCAAAUGUGGAGUUAUGAGCAUCUAAUCGAUUUGGUUAAGCAGUGUCAACAAGGCAUAUGAUAUGUUUUGGGGUAGAUUAAGUGAAUAUCAUCCUCACUAAUUUUGGCAUCUCAAGCAAGAAGGGUCGCAGAUGUGGAAUAAGGUCAUCAAUGCUAUUCAUAACAAACCUGUGAUAGGAUCUUCUGUUCCAGGGGCUUCUUUUGUAAAGUUCAUGAUGACUACAUUCAAGACGAUCUUAAUCUUUGUGGAUUAAGCAGCCAAGUUCCUUCUUUUGACCCGUACUCGACCCGAACGAACCCGGACCAAUAAGCAUGGA